rnacentral:lncRNA from 1 species
CUGACUCCCCACACUCUAAAGCAUGAAUCUGCCCCUUCAGCUGGGAGAGGGUCCUCGUGUCAUCUGGGUUUUUGGAGAGAAGGUCAAGGGAGCCUGGGUUCUAGUUCUUCAGUAAUCAAGAGUAAGGGUCUUACCUGUUCACAGGUCCCCGUGGCUGCUUUACAGAAAGCAGGAAGUGGCCACUUCAGCCACACGGCUGCAUUUCCAGCUCAGUCCAGGCAGAGCUGCACCCUGCCUUGCACCUCUGCAGAUCCUGAGGGGAGUCCUUAACUGAGCCAGGGCGAGUCCUGGGGGCACUCUGCCCCUGGGCAGGCCCUGAAUCUCCUCUGCUCCCACACUCUAGAGUUCAACGGGUCUCAGGGGCUCUGCCUGAGGACUGCCCUUCAACCAGGCCACAGGGAAAUCUGGAUCCUCUGGUGAAAAAGCAAAUCCAGUUGCUGCUGCUGCUGCUGCUGCUGCUGCUGCUGCUGCUGCUGCCAGUUCUUGUAAAUGUCCUCACUUGGUUUCUGGGCAGCAACUUCCUUGACUUGCCUGGGGAGCGGAUCUGAGCUGCAUUUACCAGGCCAUGCCCAGGGGAAGUGAUCAGUGUGGGACCGUGAAGCUGGAUUUCCCCAGGAGCUCCCUCCAAGCUUCUGGGAUGAUGAUAAGACUCGGGAUGAACCAAGGAUCUCGAACCAUGGACAAUGUGAAGUCUAGACCCAGUGGAGGAAGAGAAAGGCUACGGGAAGGGCAGGCUUCACGUUACUGAGCAUCCGCUACCUGCCACACACUUUCACGUGGCCUUAUUCUGUGUGUUUCUCACAGCACCCUUGAGAAAUAGAGACUACGAUCACAUCUUUUACAUAAAAGAAAACCACCAUCCAGGGAGGCGAAGUCCCUUGCUCACAGACUGUCAUGUGGGAAGCUCUCUGGAUGCAAUGAUUGAUGUCCUCCAGUUGCAGUACCAGGCAAGCUGUCCCAGAGUUCAUGGAGCGGAAAGGCUCGAGAAGCAACUGAGGAUGCUCGAAUCACAGUCAACCUCACCCACUCAGGUGUGACCACGAGGACCAGAGCCGAGGUCUGGGCAAGAGUGCUCACAGCUGAAGGGCUUAUGACACACACCGGCUCAACGGGACAGACAUGGGACAAGUGUGCCUGAUCAUGGUGGAGUUGCCAAGAAGCAGCUGUCGCACUGCCAUGGGUUCUACGUGUUUCUUGGGCAGAGGACGCAUGGGACCAGAAUGGGCACCAGGAAUGGUGGUGAACAAAGGCCCCAUGGUUCUGCAUGUUUAGGUGUCUCUUGUAUAAAGGCACAUUGUGAAUUGAACAUUUAGUGCCCAGGAGCCUCAUGCAUAUUAAGUAUCUCUUGGCCCUUGUGUCUCUUCCUUCCCACAUGUAACAUACCUGUUCUCUGUAACUAUCUAUUCUGAACGUAUCUAAAAACCAUGUCUUGCCUGUGUUAUACAAACCACAUGCAUACUCACGUUCUCUGAUGUAGCUGAAGGUUUCCUAAGGCCAGGGCACAUUUCAGGGUCACAUAGAGUGGAGAGAGGGACCAAAAUAGCCUUGCUCUGUUUGACUCCCAGCCGAG